GAAGGGGUUCAUGCAGGCAGCACCAGCACCCUCCACUCAGUCCAGACCACAGCAGCAGCAGCCGGGCACUGGGCAGCAGCAGCCACCAGAGAACACGAACAACAGCCAACAACCAGCGACUCAGUGAACUGAAAGUAAUUAUCCCCGCAUCGUGUCAAGCCUUCUGCCUCUAAAGAACUUCUGGACCUGAUCUUUUGGUUUGCCACAAGAGCACAUGAAGUUGUAACGGGACUGAGAUGAGAAAAGGAGGGAGGAAAGAUGCACACAC